rnacentral:tRNA from 1 species
UGGCUCAGCUGGUAGAGCAUGGUGCUUGCAUUGCCAGGGUUGUGGGUUUGAUUCCCAC